UACGGAGGAUGCAAGCGUUAUCCGGAAUGAUUGGGCGUAAAGCGUCCGCAGGUGGCUAUGUAAGUCUGCUGUUAAAGAGUGAGGCUCAACCUCAUAAGAGCAGUGGAAACUACAUAGCUAGAGUGCGUUCGGGGCAGAGGGAAUUCCUGGUGUAGCGGUGAAAUGCGUAGAUAUCAGGAAGAACACCGGUGGCGAAAGCGCUCUGCUAGGCCGCAACUGACACUGAGGCGCGAAAGCGUGGGGAGCAAACAGG
rnacentral:rRNA from 1 species